rnacentral:rRNA from 1 species
AGAGUUUGAUCCUGGCUCAGGAUGAACGCUAGCGGUGCGCCUAACACAUGCAGUCGAACGAUAUAGUGGCGAACGGGUGAGUAACACGUUGGAACCUACCCCAGACUCAGGGAUAACCCAGAGAAAUCUGGACUAAUACCGGAUGCCCCCGCAAGGGGAAAGAUUUAUCGGUCUGGGAGGGGCCUGCGCAGUAUCAGCUUGUUGGUAGUGUAAUAGACUACCAAGGCUCUGACGCUUAACUGGUCUGAGAGGAUGACCAGUCACAAUGGAACUGAGACACGGUCCAUACUCCUACGGGAGGCAGCAGUGAGGAAUCUUCCGCAAUGGGCGAAAGCCUGACGGAGCGACACCGCGUGAAGGAUGAAGGCCUUUUGGUUGUAAACUUCUUUUCUGAGGGGGUAAUUGAUGAAAGUACCUCAGGAAUAAGCACCGGCUAACUACGUGCCAGCAGCCGCGGUAAUACGUAGGGUGCAAGCGUUAUCCGGAAUUAUUGGGCGUAAAGCGUUCGUAGGUGGCAUAGAAAGUUUGUGGUUAAAUCUGAUCGCUCAACGAUCAAAUCGCUACAAAAACUUCUAAGCUUGAGAAUGGCAGGGGCAACUGGAAUUCCACAUGUAGGGGUAAUAUCCGUAGAUAUGUGGAGGAACACCAAAAGCGAAGGCAGGUUGCUGGGCCAUUUCUGACACUGAGGAACGAAAGCGUGGGGAGCAAACAGGAUUAGAUACCCUGGUAGUCCACGCCGUAAACGAUGGAUACUCGAUGUAGGAGGGACUCGACCCCCUUCUGUGUCUAAGCUAACGCGUUAAGUAUCCCGCCUGGGGAGUACGGUCGCAAGGUUAAAACUCAAAGGAAUAGACGGGGACCCACACAAGCGGUGGAGCAUGUGGUUUAAUUCGACAAUAAACGAGGAACCUCACCAGGGCUUGACAUCUCCGGAACCCACUGGAAACAGAGGGGUGCCGUAAGGAACCGGAUGACAGGUGCUGCAUGGUCGUCGUCAGCUCGUGCCUUGAGGUGUUCGGUUAAGUCCGUAAACGAGCGCAACCCAUGUCCUAUGUUGUAUUUCUCAUAGGAGACUGCCGGCUCCAAGUCGGAGGAAGGUAUGGAUGACGUCAGAUCAGCAUGGCCCUUAUGCCCUGGGCUACACACGUGCUACAAUGGCCGGUACAAUGGGCAGCUAACCCGCAAGGGGGCGCGAAUCUCAUCAAAGCCGGUCUAAGUUCGGAUUGGGGGCUGCAACUCGACCCCAUGAAGUUGGAAUCGCUAGUAAACGCGAAUCAGAUAUGUCGCGUUGAAUAUGUUCCUGGGUCUUGUACUCACCGCCCGUCAAAUCAUGAAAGGAGAGGGUACCCGAAGUCGCUUUAGUCUUUCGAGACGAGUGCCUAAGGUAAAAUCUCUGAUUGGGAUUAAGUCGUAACAAGGUA